rnacentral:misc_RNA from 1 species
AUUGAACCGGCGUGAUCGGCGCAUUUGGUUUGUGUUGGAAUCGAUUACUUCAUAAUUCCUAGAAUCUCCGUUGGUUUGCACAAAUAGUGCACAGAGUGAGUAUUCAUUUAUUACUUUACAUGUUUUACUUGUUUUUAUUAUAUCUUUCUUUUAUGUAUGUGGCGAACAGCGCAUGGUAACGCAAAUGAUUACUGAAUCUGUUUAUGUAACAGUUUACUGUUAUCCUAAUAAGGAAUUAUUUCAAUUGGAUUUGUAUAUACAUAUUCCUUUGUUAAUUUGAUUUCGAUUGACAAAAUAGGCUUUUAUUCAGGUUCAAUGAAAUGAAAACAGUUAUGGGCGUUUUGACGAAAUUGAAAGUUAUACAACAUUAAUUUUUAAAAGAAUAUAGUGGUAGAGAUAUUUUUCUACUAAGCCCUUAUACUUAUUUGAGGAAACAAUGUCCCCAAACAAAAUAAGAGUUCCAUUGUGAUCAAUUAAUUAAGGUAAACUGUUAAUGUUGUAUAGUGUAUGCCAUGAUCUUCAUUAAUUAUUGUCACUGCUAUAGCAGCUGUAUAGUAACUACAUGUAUAAAAUUUUCUUAAUUAUCAGAUUAUAGUCUGUCCCAAGUUAUUGCUUCCAUCACUUUUUGAUUAUUUUUAAAAAAAAUACACAUACCUGUGAAAGAAAUACUGUUGAAAUCGAUAAAUGGGAAAUUAUCCAAGAUAUCUUCAUUGACAAAUUUAUCACUUUUCAUUCAUAAAAGUUCACAGGAAUGAAAAGAAAUUUCUUACAGAGAUUUAUAAUGGGAAAUGUUUACAUCUUUUCUCCAUUCCGAAGUACUCAGGACACCUCAUGUAAUUUUUCAACGUUAUCAUCCGGGCUUAUUAAUGGCUGAUGCAAUGCAAAAUCUCCGUAGACUUUUUAUUUUGGGAUGUGUAUUGAAUCCUGAAGCAGUAGAGGGGGCGUUUCAAAACAGAAAAUCUAGACAUUUUUCAUAUUAGUGGAUGAACGUAGUUUGAACUCAAAGGUAUUUAUGAUUAUCAAAAUAUCAAGUGAAAAGUGGUGGAAGCAAAAACUCGGGACAGAGUAUAAAUGGAGAAUUAAUUAGUCCCAAUAGUUUUUCUGCACUUUCUUUCACAAAUUUAUAUAGUUUGAAAUUGGCUGGAUAACUUGACUGUGGAUAUUAUCAACCUUGAUUAUGAUUUCACCUGCAAUUACAUUAGCCUACUC